AUUGAACGCUGGCGGAAUGCUUUACACAUGCAAGUCGAACGGCAGCACGGACUUCGGUCUGGUGGCGAGUGGCGAACGGGUGAGUAAUACAUCGGAACGUGCCCAGUCGUGGGGGAUAACGUAGCGAAAGCUACGCUACUACCGCAUACGAUCUAAGGAUGAAAGCGGGGGACCGUAAGGCCUCGCGCGAUUGGCGUGGCCAAUGCCUGAUUAGCUAGUUGGUGGGGUAAAAGCCCACCAAGGCGACGAUCAGUAGCUGGUCUGAGAGGACGAUCAGCCACACUGGGACUGAGACACGGCCCAGACUCCUACGGGAGGCAGCAGUGGGGAAUUUUGGACAAUGGGGGCAACCCUGAUCCAGCAAUGCCGCGUGAGUGAAGAAGGCCUUCGGGUUGUAAAGCUCUUUUGUCAGGGAAGAAACACCGGCUCUAACACAGUCCGGGAAUGACGGUACCUGAAGAAUAAGCACCGGCUAACUACGUACCAGCCGCCGCAGUAA
rnacentral:rRNA from 1 species